rnacentral:lncRNA from 1 species
ACUGUGGGUCCCCAGGUCUUAGAGAGAUGUUCAAGGAUGGAACAGGGAUGGAGAUAAGCAUGAAGCCAUGCCAUGGCUAGAAGAACAUGAAAGCCAAGCAAAAGGACGCCUCUCAGAACUAGCCCUCCUAUCUCAACUCCCACCACCAAAGCAGAAGACCACUACAGCCCAGAACCCAGCACGGCGACCAUCAUAGUUUGGCUGACCAACUCAGGACAGUACAGCCACAGAGUUCCAUUGUACCCCAAGACCCACAAUGGGACUGGACUCUAGGCUUGUCAUUGGCAAUGGACAUUCUUUGAUACAGCAAGGGAGAUGGAUUCCAGGUCUAGAAUUAACCCAACCACCAUACCAGGACUAUCAAGAUCUUACUUGAAUAAGAGACUCCCAUCCCAAGAGGUGCCACGGCCAGGCUCCAGAUCCCCACCCCCUUUGGGCUGGGGCUACCACUGGGGUGCUGGCCAUGUCUAGGAAGCCCUUCUUCUUGGGCUUGUCAGCCCCUGCUGGAAGAGAGAGGAAACAAGCUGCUCCUGGAUAGACGGGGUGCUCCAGCCAUCUUGCCCUUCACUGGCCUUCAGGAGGGUUGUAUGGGCAAAAAAGUCAAAGAGAGGCAGAGGAGAAGGUGAAGGAGUCUCAGAGCACGGAGGGGAGGCUGGACACUGCAAAGGUGAGAAGGAAGCAGCGACAAACAUGGCUGGGUCUAGCACACAGUGCCCUGGAUAGCCCAACUCUGCCAUUGCAGGAGUGCUGUGCCUAACUGGCUAACCUCUGACUGCUACUUGUGAGGUUUGUGGACAGUGCUGACCAGCUAAGUCCCACGGGCCAAACCAGGUUCCAAGGGACAGGAAGGAACUCAGUGCUCAGUGCCUGGCCUCAGGCACUGCUGAGCCAUCUCCCAUUUCCAGGGCACCCGGGGACGGGCAAGGCCUGGAUGCUGAGCCGGGCUACUGGCUGUUAUUGGGGGAGGAGGUUAAACAUCUAUCCUCCUUUCCAAUGCCUCUACCCUGAUCACUUAACUACUUUCCCAUUUCAGCCUUCCAGGUCCUGAAGAAUACAUCUCUUAGAAACUGAAGGGGAGGAUCCUCCACAUUACACUCCAAUCCCUGCAAUACCCCAAAAUGCUCUUCAGUUCUCAGUCACAGAAGAAAGCCAGAUUUCAGGGCCAACUAGCUCCUUCCAGGACAAGAAGGGUGGGUCUAGGUAGUCCCACUCACCCAAGUCCUGGCAGGGAAGGGGGCUAUGGAGUUGUGGAAGCACUGAGAACUAGCGGGUAGCAAGCAGAUAAAAGUCACGCUUGUACCCUUGGCAGCCCUCUCUGGCCGUGUACAUCAUCCUCUGUGGCUCGAAUCCUGCUGCCUCCUGAGGCUUGAGCUCAGAGUGAAGCUGGAGGAGGCCACGAUUGGAGCAACAUUUGGGAAAAUGGGCACAAACCUGGAGACAAAGAGGGUUCAGGGAAGGUGCCCUGCUCAAAAGACAGCCAGCAUCCUUGACCACGGCACAUUGGUCCAUAGGGGCCAAGAAUGAACAGACCCCUCAGGAGAAACAAAAACAUAUAUCCACAUAACCAAUCUGAAUAACAGCAUCAGUCCCGAGAGCCAGAUGGUAGCUAUAAUUCCCAAGCCCCCUGACAUAUGAAUAAAACAGCCCACCCAUACCACAGAAUAUUACUCAGUCCUGAAAAGGAAGAAAAUCCUGCACCCUGCCGUGAAUGGAUAUUGAGGGUACUGUUUAAAGAUAGGAAAGACAGAUCUUCUGCAAUAUCACUCAUGUGAUGUCCCUAGAGUCACCACAUCCAUAGGGACAGAAGGAGGUCAGAUGUGGGUGCCUGUGGCUGAGAAGGGUAAGGAGUGGGGGAGGUGCACAGUCAAGAGUGAGAAUUUGUGAAAAUGCACACAACUCUGGCAGCACCCUGGAAGCCACUGAUUCACAUACUGAAGUACAGUCUGUACAGUGUAGAACCCAUACCCCUGUAAAGCUGUUUAAAGGUCAGAAAUGAUGGGGUUGGGGGAGAAUGUUCAGCAGGUAAAGCCACCUACCACCAUACCUGAUGAGCUCAGUUUGAUGCCCUGGAAGUAGAAAAUGGAGUCCUGAAACUUGUCCUCUGAUUUCCACACCCCUUCACACAUAAUAAAUACGUAAAUG